GAUGAACGCUGGCGGCGUGCCUAAUACAUGCAAGUCGAACGCAUUGUGGUUGAAAUGAUAUGAAGAACUUGUUCAGAUUUGAUUUUCAACAUUGCAAUGAGUGGCGAACGGGUGAGUAACACGUGGGAAACCUACCUCUUAGCAGGGGAUAACAUUUGGAAACAAAUGCUAAUACCGUAUAAUAAUUAAAACCGCAUGGUUUUAGUUUAAAAGAUGGUCUUGCUAUCACUAAGAGAUGGUCCCGCGGUGUAUUAGUUAGUUGGUGAGGGUAAAUGGCUCACCAAGACAAUGAUACAUAGCCGAGUUGAGAGACUGACCGGCCACAAUGGGACUGAGACACGGCCCAUACUCCUACGGGAGCAGCAGGUAGGGAAUCUUCCACAAGUGGAACGAAAGUCUGAUGGA
rnacentral:rRNA from 1 species